rnacentral:misc_RNA from 1 species
AAGCCUAUAACAAUUCUGAAUAAGACGGUUGAGGUCCUAAAAUCUGGUAGGAUCAGCUCAGGUUCUACAGAGAUCCCAUUUUCCUUCUGGUUGAAAGAUCCAGGAGAAAAACCUUUGGAAAAAUUUUACGAAACAUAUCAUGGUGGGGAUGUUAGCAUUCAGUAUCUGGUAUCUGUAGACAUUUCAAGAGGAUACUUACACAAGUCUCUAUCUGCCACAAUGGAGUUCAUAAUUGAAAGCGAAAAGGAGAAUCUUCCAGAGAAACCCAUUUCUCCUGAAAUGGUCAUCUUUUAUAUGACCCAGGACACACAGAGGCAUUCACUACUUCCAGAGCUAAAAUCAGG